UACGGGGGGGGCAAGCGUUGUUCGGAAUUACUGGGCGUAAAGGGUUCGUAGGUGGCUUGCUAAGUCAGACGUGAAAUCCCUCAGCUUAACUGGGGAACUGCGUCUGAUACUGGCGAGCUUGAGUGCAGGAGAGGAACGCGGAAUUCCAGGUGUAGCGGUGAAAUUCGUAGAUAUCGGGAGGAACACCAGUGGCGAAGGCGGCGAUCUGGGUCGAUACUGACGCUGAGGUGCGAAAGCGUGGGGAGCAAACAGG
rnacentral:rRNA from 1 species